CCUACGGGUGGCAGCAGUAGGGAAUCUUUCACAAUGGGCGAAAGCCUGAUGGAGCAACGCCGCGUGCAGGAUGAAGGCCUUCGGGUUGUAAACUGCUUUUAUAAGCGAGAAAUAUGAUGGUAACUUAUGAAUAAGGAUUGGCUAAUUACGUGCCAGCAGCCGCGGUCAUACGUAGGAUCCGCGCAUUAUCCGGAGUGGCUGGGUGUAAAGAGUUGCGUAGGUGGCAUAGUAAGUAGCUAGUGAAAUCUGGUGGCUCAACCAUUCAGACUAUUAGCUAAACUGUUAAGCUCGAGACCGUUAGAGGUAACUGGAAUUUCUGGUGUAGGAGUGAAAUCCGUAGAUAUUAGGAGGAACACCAGUAGCGUAGGCAGGUUACUGGAACGGUUCUGACGCUAAGGCGCGAAAGCGUAGGGAGCAAACAGGAUUAGAUACCCCAGUAGUC
rnacentral:rRNA from 1 species